rnacentral:rRNA from 1 species
GAAAAACCUUACCCACCUUUGACAUGUACGGAAUCCUUUAAAGAUGAAGGAGUGCUCGAAAGAGAGCCGUAACACAGGUGCUGCAUGGCUGUCGUCAGCUCGUGUCGUGAGAUGUUGGGUUAAGUCCCGCAACGAGCGCAACCCUUGCCAUUAGUUGCUACGAAAGGGCACUCUAAUGGGACUGCCGGUGACAAACCGGAGGAAGGUGGGGAUGACGUCAAGUCCUCAUGGCCCUUAUAGGUGGGGCUACACACGUCAUACAAUGGCUGGUACAGAGGGUUGCCAACCCGCGAGGGGGAGCUAAUCUCAUAAAGCCAGUCGUAGUCCGGAUCGCAGUCUGCAACUCGACUGCGUGAAGUCGGAAUCGCUAGUAAUCGCGGAUCAGAAUGUCGCGGUGAAUACGUUCCCGGGUCUUGUACACACCGCCCGUCACACCAUGGGAGCGGGUUCUGCCAGAAGUAGUUAGCCUAACCGCAAGGAGGGCGAUUACCACGGCAGGGUUCGUGACUGGGGUGAAGUCGUAACAAGGUAGGCGUAGUGCU